rnacentral:rRNA from 1 species
GCCCCUACGGGACGCAGCAGUGGGGGAUAUUGCACAAUGGGGGGAACCCUGAUGCAGCGACGCCGCGUGGGUGAAGGAGUGCUUCGGCAUGUGAAGCCCUAUCGGCAGGGAAGAAGCAAGACGGUACCUGACUAAGAAGCCCCGGCUAACUACGUGCCAGCAGCCGCGGUAAUACGUAGGGGGCGAGCGUUAUCCGGAUUCACUGGGGGUAAAGGGAGCGGAGACGGCCAAGCAAGCCAGGGGGGAAAGCCCGGGGCCCAACCCCGGGACUGGUCUUGGAACUGGGUGGCUGG